CAGAAAGUUAUCUACAGCCACUGUAUACCAAGUUAUGAUGAUCAAUUAUGAGAAUGCAAAAGGAUUGAUAGAUCAGUAAACAAGCAACAAAAAGAUGGGUGCUCAUGGAGGCCUCCAAAUAAAUACAUGGACAGGCUGCUAAAGAGGGUCAGGAUGAUGGAGAUGCAAGAGCCAAAGACAGCACAGACCAAACACCAGGCCAGAAUUCUGCAUGAGUCAGAUUGAGUAAUUUUCACUCUAGAGACCCUUGGGUGACCACCAAGGACGAAUGCAAACUCCAGUAAGUGUCUCUAAGGUAGAUCCUAAUGCAGAUGGAUGGAAUGUUGAUCCGCCUAACAUGCAAGGUAAAAGAGCAUUUGAUAGCAUAGUGGAUAAACAAAUAGCUUUUUUCAUUUUCACAGCAUUUU